GAGAACGAAGCGCUGCCGAUCUACGUGUACAAUCACAUCAACCUCUUUCAUGCCGUCGUCGGGGGAUAUGUGUACAGAGGCAAGUAGCUUCCUGAUCUGUACGGGCGCUAUCUGUACGGAGACGCCAUGACAGGCGUCAUGUCAGCAUUGACCGAGGGCAGCGACGGCUGGACAUCGUCCCCGCUUCCGGUGUGUGACCGAAAAAAAUUGUCCGUGCGGUGCCAGGGCGCGACCUAGAAACUUCAUACUGACCUUUGGUCAAGAUGAACAAGGGGAGAUGUACCUUUUGACGACGUCUUCAGUAACGGCGUUCAAAGACGACGGCGUUGCUUUGAAAAUAGUGUCACCACUUGGGGAGAAGGCGGUCUAUAGUCGUGGUGGUCAUGCUGAUGAUGUCGGUGCUGACGUGGUUCGGUUCUUGGAGUGUUGAAGACGUCGACUGAAGACUUUAUGUAUUUGAUAGAUCGUAAUCCGAACUUAUGUAACUCUUAUAAAUGAAGAUGUUUGGUAACGGGAACUGUACGUCAUAUGCAGACCUCGACACACCAGGGUUCUGCAUUCUUAUAUUGGAAUAUGUUUGGUCAGGAAUGUGUCACAAAGUGCAAGGUUCGAGUGUUGUUCUGGGGUAACCAUGAAGAACUUGUAUAUUCACAGAACGUAGGCACGGAUGUUUACAAGUGGUUGAUAUCGGCAUGUAUCAGGUAGUGUGGCUCAAGACGCGGGCAGACUUUGAGGUGCAUCACUCUGUGGAGACUUUUCUGAGUGUAGUAAUACACUUCAUGAUACGUGGACGGAAAAGUGAGGUGAAGCACCGUGACAAAAGAAAUUAAGUUUUUAUUUAGAUAGUUCGAAGCUUUGUAUGUGUUUGUAACGAGGGGUGAAAGAAAUGACACAAGGACAAUAAAAUUAUUUAUUCUUCAACAUGACCCCUCUUCAAUAUUGGCACGGUUUUGCCAGUGAUGUUGGCGCUGUGUUAUCACAUUUGCGUCCGACUCCUCAUUCGCCGGUGGUAUCACCUCAUCGUGGAUCAACCUUUUGGAUAUCCACUCAGCGACGAGGCAUAACACGUUCUUCGCAUAUUUUAAUAUCAUGAAGAAUCAUUCAUUUAUUAUUCAAUGAGGAACAGCUUCAAGUCAAAAGCACUAUGCGUUUUUAUUUGACAACUCUAUUUUACAAUUGUCAUGCUUUGUU